rnacentral:rRNA from 1 species
CGACGCUCCCGACCCCCUCUCUCCGGUGCUGAGGAUCCAAGCUCCGUCCCUCCAGCGACGGCGACGGACCGCGGCCGUCACCGUUCUCCUUCCCCGGAUCUCCCCUCCGCCUCCAAGCUCCGAUCCCCUCUGGCGACGGCGGCGGCAACGGUUUUGCAGACGUUACUAUCUCAUAUGAUCAAGGGCUUUUCAACUCACUAUAUGAGUUUGAUCUUGUUAUCUUUAAUCGGUCGUUGAGAAGAAAGCAAGAAAGUGCAGAUGAUCGCGCCGUGAUUUUGCCAUGUAAGGACCUGGAAAAUGAACCAAUGGUAGUUCUUGGAGGUUCUGUCAACAUCAAGAUGCGGUACCUGAUGUCCAUGCAGAGUGGAGAAAUGACUUGAGUAGGGCUAGUGAUCGCCUCCUUGUUGUUCAUCUAAUUUGAAAGUAUCUCUGCCUUGGGCAUGGAAAGUGAUAAUUCAAUUUUCUUUUGUUGUGAACAAAUUUGAAUGAUGAUAGCACAUGAAAACGAUUUAGGCCAAC